GACGAACGCUGGCGGCGUGCUUAACACAUGCAAGUCGAACGGUGAAGCGCCUUCCUUUUUGGUGGGUGUGGAUGAGUGGCGAACGGGUGAGUAACACGUGAGUAACCUGCCCCCUUCUCCUGGAUAACCGCAUGAAAGUGUGGCUAAUACGGGAUAUUCUGGGUCUGUCGCAUGAUGGGUCUGGGAAAGAUAUUGUUUCGGUGGGGGAUGGGCUCGCGGCCUAUCAGCUUGUUGGUGGGGUGAUGGCCUACCAAGGCGGUGACGGGUAGCCGGCCUGAGAGGGUGGACGGUCACACUGGGACUGAGACACGGCCCAGACUCCUACGGGAUGCAGCAGUGGGGAAUAUUGCACAAUGGGCGCAAGCCUGAUGCAGCGACGCCGCGUGAGGGAUGGAGGCCUUCGGGUUGUGAACCUCUUUCGCCAGUGAAGCAUGCCUGCCUCGUUUGUGGGUGGGUUGACGGUAGCUGGAUAAGAAGCGCCGGCUAACUACGUG
rnacentral:rRNA from 1 species